rnacentral:rRNA from 1 species
AGAGUUUGAUCCUGGCUCAGGACGAACGCUGGCGGCGUGCCUAACACAUGCAAGUCGAACGGAGAAUUUCAAAGUGUUUACAUGGCGAAAUUCUUAGUGGCGGACGGGUGAGUAACGCGUGGGUAACCUACCCAUAAAGCCGGGACAACCCUUGGAAACGAGGGCUAAUACCGGAUAAUCUUAAGUUUUGGCAUCAGGAUUUAAGGAAAGAUGGCCUCUGAAUAUGCUAUCGAUUAUGGAUGGACCCGCGUCUGAUUAGCUAGUUGGUGGGGUAAAGGCCUACCAAGGCGACGAUCAGUAGCCGGCCUGAGAGGGUGAACGGCCACACUGGGACUGAGACACGGCCCAGACUCCUACGGGAGGCAGCAGUGGGGAAUCUUCCGCAAUGGACGAAAGUCUGACGGAGCAACGCCGCGUGUAUGAUGAAGGUCUUCGGAUUGUAAAGUACUGUCUUUGGGGAAGAAC